rnacentral:rRNA from 1 species
GACGAGGGGUCCUAGCGUUGUUCGGAAUUACUGGGCGUAAAGCGCACGUAGGCGGCUUUGCAAGUCAGAGGUGAAAGCCCGGGGCUCAACCCCGGAAUAGCCUUUGAGACUGCAUCGCUAGAAUUGUGGAGAGGUAAGUGGAAUUCCGAGUGUAGAGGUGAAAUUCGUAGAUAUUCGGAAGAACACCAGUGGCGAAGGCGACUCACUGGACACAUAUUGACGCUGAGGUGCGAAAGCGUGGGGAGCAAACAGG